rnacentral:lncRNA from 1 species
CGCCUUCACGCGCACAAAGGCCCCUCUCGCCACGGGCCGGCAACUUGGAGACGGGUCAGGUGUCUUCCUGGGGGCGGGACGUGGGCUGAGACCCCCUCCCCCUUCUCUCCCCUCCGCCUUCCUCGGAAGCCUGCGAAUGGAGAAUGGCGUGGGAUUAAGCAAACCCACAGAAACCGGUGAAGAACCCCCGCCCUCCCGGCUCCUGCUGCCUCGUCACCCGCCCCCGCCCCUCCUGGGCGCGAGGCUCCGCGCUCCUCCAGAAAGGGGUGGGGCCGUGGUCACAUCUGGGAACAGCUGGCUCUUGGCUGCUUGACCUUUGCCCCCGUUCCCAGGUGGGGGAGGAGGGGACUGGGGUCUUCCCAUCUGCAGGGGGUGGGGGAGAGACCGGUGUGGCUGGAGGUGCUCAGUGUGGAUGAAGCCUGGGGAGGGGAGGCUGAGGCUUCCAGCCUAAGGGAGGAGGGGACAGUUUGCAAGGGGCUCCAAGCCCAGUCCCUGCUCUGGGUCCCCUGUAGCCACAAGAUGGUCCACAGCUUCCAACCCCGACCUGGGAGGCCCCACCCACAGACCUGCCCUGUGGGGAGGCCCAGAUCCCCUCCAUCCACACGUCUCCCCUGAGGGACAGACGCACCCAGGUCCUGGCCCUGGUGCCUGAGCACCUCCCCAUUCCUCCCACAGCCAGACUAAGGCCCCCAGGGGCGGGGCACGGGCCAGGAGAGGGACCCUCUGGGCGCCCGCUGCUCCUUCUCCACCCCACGUGCUCAGAGCGUGCUUGGCCCGGCUGCCUCUCCCCGUAUGACUAGGAGGUGGGGGUACCACACAGCAAACCCCCCAGCUCAGGCUCAGGUCCCCGCCUGGAGCCAGCCGCCUGUUCCUUGGCUUAGGUCUGGGCUUAGGUCUGCACAGGGCCAAUUUGGGGAGGAGGAACUUGCCCUUUGAAGCUGGUGGGGGCCAGGACCCCCAGCACGCUUGAGUUCCCCCGGGUGGGAGAGGCCACCACAAAGGCUGUGAUUGUGAGCCAGGCCAGGCACACAAUGGGGUGGGCCGCCCAGGGGCCAGGGCCCCUGCUUGGAGAAGAGGCCACAGCCCCUUCCCUGCCGCUCCCGCCCCUGGCUCCCUCCUCCCCGGCCCCGCCCAGCCCCACCGGGAGAGACGGGCGGACCCAGGGCCCAACAGGCGCAGAGCGGCUCCACCCGAUCCCUGAAGGGUUGGUCUCUGGACCCGAGGGCUGUGGAACCUCUGGACUGCUGGCACGCCGGGGGCUGCUGCGGGAGGCCAGAGUUGUGCAGCCAUCAUGUGCCCGUCAGUCUGAAACCUGGUGCCGUACCCACUGCUCCGCACCCCCUCCUCGGCCGGAGGCAGCCACCGAGCCACUUGUUGUCUUAGGAGUUGCUUACUCUGGACAGCUCGUGGAAGCAAAGCUGCAGCAUGCGACCUCUUACGUCUGCCUUCUUUCCCUCAGCAUGAUUUCCAGAUUCAUCCGUGUCGUAGCUCUGUCAGCGCGUUGUUCCUUUUAAUGGUUGAAUAAUAUUCCUUUGUACAGAUUUUAUUUCUUUACUCAUCGUGUGUUAGACAUUUGUGUUGCUUCUACUUUUUGGCCACUUUGAAUAAAGCUGCUAUGG